UUCAUCAUGAUUCUCAGUUUUUGUUGUUUCUCAUAUACCAAUGAUGUCAGCACCACAGGAAAUAGCUGUAGAAUAACCCAUGUAAAGAAGAGUGUGCCAAGAAGAGAUGCCAGAUCCACAUUGAUUUUGCUGGCAGCUUUAGGCAUUUCUUUGACAAACUCAAAUAGCAUUUUUGUACCAGGCCCUUGGAAAAACUGUAGGUAGGCAUUUGACACCAGAUUCACAAAGCGAGGAACUCGCAGAUAGUUAAAUUGGCCUUGAAUGUCACCCUCUUUAUAGGUUGAAUUGUACCAUAUGCUCACAUUAAAAUUAUUACCGUUGGAGUUUAAGAAAUCAUAGGCUGCAAGUAUCUCAUUAAUCUUCUCAUCAGAAUUCCCUUUACGGUAUCCUUUGAAUAGCUGUUCAUUUAUCUCAGAAGAACUAUUGCGCCACAACUUUAGAUCUUGAACACAUGCUGCCUCUUUUUGAAAUUCAAUGACUGACUGAACAGAAAUAGAUAAUGUGGAGUUUGAUGCACAUUGAUGCUGAACAUAAUAGAGAGUAGAAUUCUCAAUGAAAGCUGGAUCAAUAAAAUUAUCUCUUUUUGGCUCUGUAUCUGAACCCAGCGCAUUGUAGGCUAAACUGUCCAUAUAAUUGGAAGAAUUGAUAGUGAAAGAACUUGGGAACAUAUUCCCAGCCAAAUUUUCUCCAAGUGAUUGAUUAUUUCCAGUGAAGAGUAUAGUUACAGGACAGGACCCUGUACUCCUGCAUGAAUCAUUUGGCAAGUCUGUAAAUGGAAUAACUUCAGAUCUGACUGCACGAUACUGAGGAGCUGGAAUUUGUAAGAGAGGAGGCCAUUGCGGGGGGCUCGGAAUGGAACAGGUGGCAGCUUGAAAUGCAUCUGAGUAUUGCAAACCACAAACUUUCUCCAGUUGUCCAUUUCCAUUUAUAUCAACAUCUUUACAACCACACUUCCUACUAGCCUUGUUCAAUUCAUGGUCAAGCAAACUUUGAGUGAUAACAAGUAGUAUGCAGAGGAUAAAUGGAAAUAAAAUGAGCCUGCAAUUUGUCUUAG
rnacentral:misc_RNA from 1 species